rnacentral:rRNA from 1 species
GACGAACGCUGGCGGCGUGCUUAACACAUGCAAGUCGAACGGAGCACCCUUGAAUGAGACUUCGGUCAAAGGAAAGGAAUGCUUAGUGGCGGACUGGUGAGUAACGCGUGAGGAACCUGCCUUUCAGAGGGGGACAACAGCUGGAAACGGCUGCUAAUACCGCAUGACGCAUUCGGAUGGCAUCAUCUGAAUGCCAAAGAUUUANCGCUGAAAGAUGGCCUCGCGUCUGAUUAGAUAGUUGGCGGGGUAACGGCCCACCAAGUCGACGAUCAGUAGCCGGACUGAGAGGUUGACCAGCCACAUUGGGACUGAGAUACGGCCCAGACUCCUACGGGAGCAGCAGUGGGGAAUAUUGGGGCAAUGGGCGCUAAGCCUGACCCAGCAACGCGCGUGAAGGAA